CCCCUCUGCUUGAUUCUUUAUAAGAACUCCUCUUUACUUUGGAAACUCAAAUAUUUAACCAGGCUACAACUAAGUGCUGACUGCCCUUGAACAGUUUUGCUUGCUGCACGAUAGGCACCUUUGAUUUGCAAAUUCAGAUCUUCAGCUCAGGCAAUGCUGGGGAUUGAACUCAAUAUCUUGUGUAUACUAGCUUCGACUGAGCAUUCUACCACUGAGCUACAACCCCAAAUCUGAUUGUCUUAAUUAAUCUUUGAGUCACACUAGACUUGUAUAAAAAAACAAUGUAUGCAUGAGAAUAGAAAAGAAAAUAAAGACUCAACAGAGUAUCUAAGGAACCAAGAAAGCACUGAAAUUAAGAUGUUAGAGUAUUUUGUAUUUCCUUUGUAAUCAUUAGGAUAUUAUUUUCAUCAAAAGUAUAUCAGACCUUUACGCAUUGGGUCACUGGUCUCCUGUGACUAAACUCUGUGGAUCCUGAGCUGAAAAGUGUGGAGAGUCUUCUGCUGUUCCUGUACCUGGGAGGCUAUUUCACUAGCUCUUGGUUUGCUUUCAGGUUAUGCAUAGAGAUGGAUGGAAAUGACAGAGACAAGAGAAGACAAUCUACUUCUUUCACAAUAAUGACAGCUCAAGUUUAGGCUCUUGACCUGGGAUCUCUUUGAUCUGUGUAAGCCCAGUGUUGCAACAGUGAUCUGUGAGAGUGGAGGAGGGACACAUGAGGAGUGUGGUGACAGAAGAGAUGGUCAAAGUGCCGCAUCUUGAAGAGGACUGAGCCUGUCAUUACUGUCAUUGAUAAUGGAGGAAAGUGCCUUAAGCCCAAGAAGUGCAGACCAUCUUUAUAAGUGGGGAAAGAGAAAGCACUGCCCACGCCCACCACCUUCUCGUGACUAUCCCAGUCUUCCUCCACUACUUUUGAAGAUGCCUGUUUCCAUGUUUUGCCAUUUGUGACAGAUCUUGACUUGAAAUCAAGUCUUGCAUCUGCAGAACAUUCAACAGUCAAACAUGGGUCUUUCUUAAGAAGAAGAUUCAAAGAAGUAUGGAGAACCCAGCCCCACCUCAGAGGAACAGGACAAAGCUACGCCUGCCCAAGGAAGGCUAGCAAGGUGGGGAGAUACAGAUACUGCAAGACGGCGCCAUCUUCAGCACUCUGAGUUUUAACGACAACACAACUAUUGACUACCCAGUAGACGUCAGGCACGGCAUCAGAGGCUUGGAACAAACGGUGAGCUUACUGGCUACCCUCAUCCCAUUGUGAAAACAGCUUAGCCCGGAGACUGAGAUUACUCCCAACGCUGCCCCCAAUACCGAGCUCUAAAAUAAUCAAGUAUCACAAACAAGCGCAGCGAUCUGAGUGCGUCGACUGGGUGCACCUGAAUUUGUCCUGGAGAAUUUCAGAGGCCUUCCCGCAGAAGAUCCGUCGGUCGGGGCUGACAGAAGAAAGAAAUGGUACUUACAUGCAUGUGCCAGUCUCUGCCCUUCGUGUCGCUGAAGAGGGAGGCACUACAGCAGGCACGGACUUCUGAGGCUGAAGCAUAGGAAACAUG